UACGGAGGGUGCGAGCGUUGUCCGGAAUCAUUGGGCGUAAAGGGCGCGUAGGUGGCCCGGUCAGCGUGCGGUGAAAGCUCGGGGCUCAACCCCGAGUCGGCCGUGCGAACUGCUGGGCUGGAGCACUGUAGAGGCAGGCGGAAUUCCGGGUGUAGCGGUGGAAUGCGUAGAGAUCCGGAAGAACACCGGUGGCGAAAGCGGUUAGCUGGGCAGUUGCUGGACACUGAGGCGCGAC
rnacentral:rRNA from 1 species